rnacentral:rRNA from 1 species
AGAGUUUGAUCCUGGCUCAGGACGAACGCUGGCGGCGCGCCUAACACAUGCAAGUCGAACGGAGCUUAGAGAGCUUGCUUUUUAAGCUUAGUGGCGAACGGGUGAGUAACGCGUGAGUAACCUGCCCUAGAGUGGGGGACAACAGUUGGAAACGACUGCUAAUACCGCAUAAGCCCACGGUACCGCAUGGUACUGAGGGAAAAGGAUUUAUUCGCUUUAGGAUGGACUCGCGUCCAAUUAGCUAGUUGGUGAGGUAACGGCCCACCAAGGCGACGAUUGGUAGCCGGACUGAGAGGUUGAACGGCCACAUUGGGACUGAGACACGGCCCAGACUCCUACGGGAGGCAGCAGUGGGGGAUAUUGCACAAUGGGGGAAACCCUGAUGCAGCGACGCCGCGUGGAGGAAGAAGGUUUUCGGAUUGUAAACUCCUGUCGUUAGGGACGAUAAUGACGGUACCUAACAAGAAAGCACCGGCUAACUACGUGCCAGCAGCCGCGGUAAAACGUAGGGUGCAAGCGUUGUCCGGAAUUACUGGGUGUAAAGGGAGCGCAGGCGGGAAGACAAGUUGGAAGUGAAAACCAUGGGCUCAACCCAUGAAUUGCUUUCAAAACUGUUUUUCUUGAGUAGUGCAGAGGUAGAUGGAAUUCCCGGUGUAGCGGUGGAAUGCGUAGAUAUCGGGAGGAACACCAGUGGCGAAGGCGGUCUACUGGGCACCAACUGACGCUGAGGCUCGAAAGCAUGGGUAGCAAACAGGAUUAGAUACCCUGGUAGUCCAUGCCGUAAACGAUGAUUACUAGGUGUUGGGGGAUUGACCCCCUCAGUGCCGCAGUUAACACAAUAAGUAAUCCACCUGGGGAGUACGACCGCAAGGUUGAAACUCAAAGGAAUUGACGGGGGCCCGCACAAGCAGUGGAGUAUGUGGUUUAAUUCGAAGCAACGCGAAGAACCUUACCAGGUCUUGACAUCCUACUAACGAGAUAGAGAUAUGUUAGGUGCCCUUCGGGGAAAGUAGAGACAGGUGGUGCAUGGUUGUCGUCAGCUCGUGUCGUGAGAUGUUGGGUUAAGUCCCGCAACGAGCGCAACCCUUAUCAUUAGUUGCUAACAGUCAGAUGAGCACUCUAAUGAGACUGCCAGCGAAAAGUUGGAGGAAGGUGGGGAUGACGUCAAAUCAUCAUGCCCCUUAUGGCCUGGGCUACACACGUGCUACAAUGGCUGGUACAAAGAGGAGCAAAGCUGUGAAGUGGAGCAAAUCUCAAAAAGCCAGUCUCAGUUCGGAUUGUAGUCUGCAACUCGACUACAUGAAGUUGGAAUCGCUAGUAAUCGUAAAUCAGCAUGUUACGGUGAAUACGUUCUCGAGUCUUGUACACACCGCCCGUCACACCAUGAGAGUUUGUAAUACCCGAAGCCGGUGGCUUAACCGCAAGGAGAGAGCCGUCUAAGGUAGGACAGAUGAUUGGGGUGAAGUCGUAACAAGGUAUCCCUA